rnacentral:rRNA from 1 species
UACAGAGGUCUCAAGCGUUGUUCGGAAUCACUGGGCGUAAAGCGCACGUAGGCGGAUUGCUAAGUCAGGGGUGAAAUCCUGGAGCUCAACUCCAGAACUGCCUUUGAUACUGAAGAUCUUGAGUUCGGGAGAGGUGAGUGGAACUGCGAGUGUAGAGGUGAAAUUCGUAGAUAUUCGCAAGAACACCAGUGGCGAAGGCGGCUCACUGGCCCGAUACUGACGCUGAGGCACGAAAGCGUGGGGAGCAAACAGG